GCCGCAACUAAAUAUCAUUAUAUAUUUCAAACAUACAAAUAUAUUAUAGCAGUAUCAAGAAAUAAAAUAUAAUAUCACAAAAUGAUAAGAUACUUAUGCAAGUUUUUUUCAUCCUACGAAGCACAAAAUAUAAAAAGUUUAUUAAUAGGUAUAUAAUAGUAGCUAAGACAGUAUUUAUAUACAAAUCCCAAUAAUUUAUCGCUACGUUCCUAUUAUAACAUAAAGGCAAGUCAAAUUGGAGCAUUGCAAGUUCUUAUUCUUCCAAAUCAAGUAGAUUUGGUCAACAAUUCGUGUGACUCGUGUUUUAUGAUUUCUUAAUCUUUAUCUACUUCCGAAUCCUUUCAGCUUCACCCCUCGCGCUAUGGCAUGUAACCUGUAAAUUGCAUAUGAAUUUAAGAAAAAAAAUAAUAGUAUAUGAUAGACUUUGUCAAUGCCAUUUCAAUUUCUAACGUGUAAUAAAAAAAUAGUAAAGAUAACAGAAUUUCUUAAGAGUACACGGUAAUAAUUUAUAAUUUAUUAUUGUAAACAUUAAAAACAGAAUAUAAUUUAAAAACUUACCUCAAAUCAAUUUGAUAUACCAAUUAAUAAUUAAUAAUUAUACGAUAUUUAGUACGUCCGAACUAAUAUAUCUUUUCAUGAAAACGAACGUCUCUAUUAAUAAAUUUCUUCAAAAAUAUACGAUAUAGUAGAUCAUAUUGUUAUGUAAAGUCCUACUUCCAAAAGACCCAUCAGUAUGAAAUCUAGAAGGCGUGACCUAAAGAUGAAUUUCUCAACAUAUGCAAAUAUUUUCUUAUACUUCUAAUGAUCACACUUAUACAUGUUUUAAUUUUUAAUUGAUAUAACAUAUUUCAUUUGAAAUGUUUUGCUAGAAAGGAAAAAAAAAACUCGAUAUUUCAACCCAGUUUGUGAGCUAAUCAUAAAAUAGUGUUGAUAACAUAAUCUCGAGAAUAACCUUUUUUCAAAAGGUAAAAAAUUAUCAACACCUGGUGUUUACAUCAAGCCAAUACAUACAUGCCAUGUGUUUAAAUUUAGAGUACAUUUUACUUAAUCAUAAUUAAUUAGCUUGUAUUUUAUAUUAGUAAAUUAUUUAAUCAUAAUAAAUUAUAUUAAUUUAGUGUAAACACUAAGUGUGGACAUAUUUUUACCUUUUCAAAAUAGUUUCAAAAAUUUUAUUGAAUAUUUCAGAAUAAAGAGAACAUAUGAAUUCAUUUAUUUGGAUCAAUUUGGAUGUAGAAGAGAACAAACCUCAUGAGGUAGACAUCUAUAAUCAUUAGUCUCAUAGUCCAUUGCCUCCUUAAUACUCCUGCAAGCAUCCACUAUCACCAAAGCAAAUUCCCCUCAAAAUGUCUCAAACUUCAUGUUAUUCUUGUCAACUGUUCGAUGUGUGCUUUCCCAAAAAUCAUCUAAAAAACACAGCCAAAUCAAACAAUAUUCGAUCUAGGUUCACCACUAAAGAAAGAAAAGAAUAGAAAUAAAAUAUGCACAAAUUAAACAAAUUUAGUUUUUAGUUAAGAGAAAAAAAAGCCAGUCAAAAGAUGAACAAUAAAAUUAACCCUAAUAUCUAAGAGUUUAAAAUCAAACUAAUUUUCACCACUUAAAAAAAUAACAUUUCAAUAAUUUUUUUUUUUUUUUUAAAAACCUAUGUUAUAUACUCUAUUCUCACACACCCAAUCUUUCCCUUUCUUCUAACUAUAUUAGAGGAAUAGAAAGCCAAGACUUGGGGAAUGAAGAGAAAGCCAAGAAGAAUAUUAAGACAGAUAAGUGUAGGUUAAGGAGUACCUGAAUUUUCUAAUGUUUUUCAAACAAUGAGGAAGUUCAUAGACAACUUGGUUGUCAAUUCGCUUAGUUGCUGUAUCUGAAGUGCUUAAACCUUGUAUUGAUGAAAUCACAUAAUAUUCAAUGACGAAUUUAAAAUUUUCACUAAGGAGGUUUGAAAACUAAAAAUAUAGUGAUUGAGAUAUGAACUUGAACCUAAAGGUGAAUAUUGAACUUCCUCAACUACUGAUCCAACCUCUAAUCUUACGUUCUAAAGGUUCAAAAUCAAUAAAUACACAUAGAAUAUUUUUUAAAAAUUCUAUUGAAUACGUGCCAUGAACCUAGCCAAAAAUUUGUUGGACAACAUUACAAUAAUUUCAAUCAAAUAAUCACAAAAUAAAAAUAAAUUAAAUCAGAAGAUGAAAAAAAAAAUUCACAACAAUUGACAUAUAAAAACAAUUAAAAUAGUACAUGAAAAUUCGUUUCUUACUUCAUUAUUGAAUACUUUUUCUUUGAAAUCAAGAGACACUAAUAAGGCCACGAAGAAAAUUUAUUAUCAUAUAUUGACCAUGAGAAAAAAAAAAAAACACAAACGAUUAUUAUGACCAUUAGGGUAUUAUAUUGAAAGUCCAAAAUAUAACCCUAUCAAUUAGGAUUUCUAUUUAAAAUAUAUAAUUAAUUUCUUUUCAUAAUUUCAUUUUAUAAGGUUGUUCUCAUAUAUUGUAGGAGUCCUUAAUCUUUUUAUUUUAGUUAUAAUAUUUAAUUCAAAUAAGGAAAGAAUUUGUAUAAAACAUAAGUUUAAAUUGAUAAAAAUCCUAUUCAAGUAAGGAAAGAAAUUCUAAAUUGAUUAAAAUCCUAAAAUUUAGAAGUAGUUUAAAUAAGGAAAAUUUUUUAAACUAAAAGUUAUUAGGACAAGAAUUUAAUUAAAAAUUUAUUUGAUAUAAAUAAGUUUCCCAACGUACCCUAAUUAUUUUUUUUUUUUGGGGAGAAAAACAGAAAUCAAAGUAAAAAAUUCAAUUGAGUUAAAAGUGUUAAAUAAUGAUUUAUUUUUGGAACUAAAAUCAUAAUAAACGUACAGUAGUUUUUUCAAAACUUUAAGUGAGAUUUUCUUUUUCUUUUUUACUUAAAGUUUUCUAUUAAAUCAUUUUUUGUUCUCUUAUCAUAUAUUUUAGGACUUUUUUCUCUAUAUAUUUUUAUUUUAUCAUAUAAUUUAGCUCUCCUUGCUUUUAAAUAUUAAAAGUAUAAUUAUAUAAUAAUUUAAGGAAAAUAGUGAAAAGACAAUUUCGUCUAUUGCAUAGUAUUUUAAUGAAGGACAAAAAGUUCAAAUCAUUUUUCUAAGGGCCUUCACACUUUUAAUAUACUAGUCCAGUGUACGUGCUUUGCACGUACAUCACGUCAAUAAAAAAAUCACCUACAAAAAGAUAAAAUAUAUAAUAUGUAAUUGCAAUUACAAUAUAGUAUGCAACAUUAUAUUUAUUUAAAUGAGCAAAAUAUAUAAAAUUUUAGAAUCUGACUUAAACCCAAAACACUAAAGAAUUAUACUUUACAUCCUAAAUAUUCAUAUCUACAGCAUAAAUUAAUGCAAUAAAAGUUGAGAUUAAAAAAAAUAAAUUUGAGACAAAAAUUAACGUAGUAAAAAUUAGUCGAAGAAGAGAAUGUGAAAUUAUAAUGGUAUUUUUUUUUUAUAAAAGUAUAGGAUUCAUAAAUUAAAAAAGAUACUAAUUAACAUUAUAGUAGAAUUUUUAUAUUUUAGCCAAUAUUUUUUUCCUUUACUGGAAGAACCAAAAACAAAAACAAUCGUACCACAUUUUUUUUUCUUUGGGGUAAAGUAAACGACCCCUUUUUAUUUUACAAAAUCAUAAAUAAUCGGGCUUUUAGUUUUUUGAAAAAUAGUCAUGCACACAAUAAAACACCAAAUAAAUUUUUUACCAUAAAUUUAGAAUUUUUUAUUUAUUUAUUAUAUCCAAUAUUCAAUAUAUUAUAAAUUAAAGAGAGAAAAAAGUAAAAAACAAUUUUGUCUGAAGCAGAGACUUUUAAUGAGGUGAAAAAUGUUCAAAUCACUUUUCUAUUCUUGGGAAGAGUAAAUGGGGCUUUUAUUUUUUUUGGAAAAUUGUCCUGCACAUAAAACACCAAAUAACAAUUUUACCAUAAAUUUAGCAAUUCAUUUAUUUUUUAUUUAUUUAUUGUAGCCGAUAUUCAAUAUAUUAUAAAUUAAAGAGAGAAAAAAGUAAAAAGACGAUUUUAUUUAAAAUAAAGACUUUUAAUGAGGGGCAAAAAGUUCAAAUCACUUUUCUAAGGGUCUUCACACUUUUAGUAUAUUAUAGAUUAUAGAUGUAUAUGAUAUACAUAUUUGUCUUUUCAAAAUAAAAGUUAGAGAUAGUAGGGUAAAAAAACGAAAAAACCGAAAAAAACAAAAAGAAAAAAAGAAAAAAAAAACGAAAAAAGAAAAGUGAAAAAGAAAAAAAAGGAAAAAGAGAAACUGAAGUGUAAAAAAAAAAAUUAAAAAAUUUAAAAAAAAAAUAGAAAAAAGAAUAAAACGAAAAUAGAAAAAGAAAAAAAAGAUAUGAGAAAGGAAAAAAAAAAGAGAAAAUAAAGUGGAAAUAAAAAAAUGAAAAAGAAAAAGAAAUCAAAAUAAAAAAAUAAAAUGAUAAAAUGAUAAAAAAGUAGGAUGAAAAAAAACUAAGAAAAAAAGGAAGAUAUACAAGAGAGUGAAAGACAAUAAUGAUGUUUUAUUUUGAAAUCUUGAAGAUCAUGGAGAUAAUUAUCUUUAAAUAUGAAAAAAAAAAACGAAAAAAGAAAAAAAGAAGAAGAGAAAUAGAAGAAAAAAAAUAAAGUGGAAAUAAAAAAAAAAUAAAAUAAAAAAAUAAAAUGAUAAAAAAUAAGAUGAAAAAAAAGGAUAAAAAAUAUGAUUAUAUUUAGGGGAGAUGGAAUAGUGGAGUGAAAAUAGAAAAAUGUAAAGAAGUGAGAGUAAAACAUGCACUUGUCUCAUGAGUAAAAUAAUGCUAAUUUGCUAUAAAUUAUAAUUUUAUAAAAAUAUUGCUAUUUAUUAUAAUUAUAAUCUUAAGUAUGCUACUUUUUGUAAUUUUUUUCUUUCAAAUCUGGCCAGCUUUUGGGCCUAUUUCUUAUGGACUUUUGGUCCAUUUCUGGAAUGCAUACAAACUGCACAUCAGACUUGCUGCUGCUUUAUGCAUACACACUAUAUAUCAGUGUAUUAAAAACUGAUAUCCUCGCUUCUGAUGCUCUUAUACGCUAUAUACCAGCAAUAUUUGACCUGCAAGUCCCGUAUAUUUACUGUAUAUCAACGUAUAUCCACCUUGUUUCUUCACGCUAGUCCCUUUGGGUCUUAGUCUCGGAGAGCUGCAGGGAUGGGAGUCCCCAUUGGACUCGUUAGGAAAAAGUUCAUGCACAAGAGAUAAAAGAAUAAGGAUUAGUACGCGUCUACUAAUAAUAUGAC
rnacentral:lncRNA from 1 species